GAGUUUACCAUUUAGUGCUUUGUGAUACCAGUACAAAUAAACGAUUUCAAAUUAAUAAGGCACUUGUUACAAAUGGUUUCGCUGAAUUCGAACUUAAUACGGAAUUCCUUACAACUUAACAUGCCUUGUAAAAGUAUUGGAGGGGGACAUCAGGUGUGUAACCAGCUAGUUUGGAUGGAUAUAUAUGCGAUGUGCGUAAUUCUUUGUAAUAGGAAAUAUUUCUUCCUUGAUUGUCGGAACACGUAAUUGUUUAUGCAGCUGUUCAUUCGUUACAUACCAAGGUGCAUUUGUGAUCAUUCGUAGUGUUUUAGAUUGAAAACUCUGGAUAAUUGCCAAGUUUGAGUGUGAUGCAGUACACUAUAAUUAGGCUCUAUAAUUCCAUAUAGGUUUUAGUGCAGUUUUGUAUAUAAGCAGCUUAUUGUUGAGUGACAGUUUGGAAUUUCGGCUGAAGAACCAAAAUAAGUUUCACCAUUUGAAACCUAAGUCUUUACGCUUUUCAAAUGUAUGUGGUUUCCAGAAUAUAGAAGAUAAAGCAUUUGUCGCAUUAUGCUUCUUAAUGAAAAAGUGCCUUGCCGAGAGGUAUGAUUCAGUUUUAGUUUGAAAAGAAGGCCCUCAUGCCAUACUCGAUUAAAAGCUUGCGAAAUAUCUAUAAAUGCCGCAGUGCAAUAUUUCUUACCAUCUAUUGCACUAUGGAUAUUUCUGACAAGUCUAUGAAUUUGUUCUGUUGUGCUAUGUUUUCGGCGAGAACCGAAUUGAUGGUCAGGGAUUUUUGUUUAUUAAUGUAGUAACAAUUAAUUUAAUGCUAAUUUUUUUACUUAUUUUUCAGACUAAUUAAUAAAAAUUAAAACUGAAGUUGUGUGGAGCAAAUAGAAAAUAAGAUGCAACUAAGUAGGAAUUCAUUACGAAUGAAAUAAGUAAUAUAAUUAUAUUAAACAUAAAUUAUUUUAUAACUGUACUUUUCGAAAUUGUAAUAUAUUGUAAAUAUGUAUUUACAAAUUAAAUUUUUCAAACUAUAUAAACAACUUUUAAUUAUGCAAUAUAAUAGGAGACGUGGUGGAGGGGCUCAGUAUGUAUAAUGAUCCUGAGAGCGACGCCGGUGGUAGCUACUGACAGCGUCUUUCUUGCCGGUAAGGUCGUAGAUUCAAAUAUCGAAGAAAAUCUGUCUUCAUGGAGUUAUCGAAUAAGCUUCGAAAAUCUCCCUGCACAAGCUGCAGCUGGUACAAUGGAUGUUAAGGUGCCAAAUGCACACUGAAAUAUCAACACAAUGAAUAAAACCUCAACAAUAGAUCAAAAACUGCACUUAAACCGCAAUAACAACUCUUAUUGUUCCUGAAGAAACACUAUCGGAAUGAAGCGAUCGAUUCGAAUUGCAUCCUAGAAUGUACGGACUUUAUAUGAAAGUUGAAAAUUUACAGAACUUCGAAAUGAGGUGUCUAACUAUAAAUUUAAUAUUCCUGCCAUCCAAGAGACUAGAUCCAAUGACAGCGGAGUAAUACGUGAUCAUAACAUGGAAUUUAUUUACUCAGUUAGACUAGAAAUCGAACAUUAUAUGGAAAGGGUGGCAAUUCUUAUUUCUAAAG